rnacentral:tRNA from 1 species
UGGGGUGUAGCUCACUAGUAGAGCACUUGCUUAGCAUGAGUGAGGCCCUGGGUUUGAUCCCCAGCACCACAA